rnacentral:rRNA from 1 species
GAGUUUGAUCUUGGCUCAGAUUGAGCGCUGGCGGCAUGCCUUACACAUGCAAGUCGAACGGCAGCACGGGAGCUUGCUCCUGGUGGCGAGUGGCGAACGGGUGAGUAAUGCAUCGGAACGUAUCCUGGAGUGGGGGAUAACGUAGCGAAAGUUACGCUAAUACCGCAUAUUCUGUGAGCAGGAAAGCGGGGGACCUUCGGGCCUCGCGCUCUUGGAGCGGCCGAUGUCGGAUUAGCUAGUUGGUGAGGUAAAGGCUCACCAAGGCGACGAUCCGUAGCAGGUCUGAGAGGAUGAUCUGCCACACUGGAACUGAGACACGGUCCAGACUCCUACGGGAGGCAGCAGUGGGGAAUUUUGGACAAUGGGGGCAACCCUGAUCCAGCCAUGCCGCGUGAGUGAAGAAGGCC